rnacentral:rRNA from 1 species
UACGUAGGGGGCAAGCGUUGUCCGGAAUCAUUGGGCGUAAAGAGCGCGUAGGCGGCCCUGUAAGUCCGCUGUGAAAGUCAAGGGCUCAACCCUUGAAUGCCGGUGGAUACUGCAGGGCUAGAGUCCGGAAGAGGCGAGUGGAAUUCCUGGUGUAGCGGUGAAAUGCGCAGAUAUCAGGAAGAACACCCGUGGCGAAAGCGGCUCUCUGGAACGGUACUGACGCUGAGACGCGAAAGCGUGAGGAGCGAACAGG